rnacentral:tRNA from 1 species
GCCCAGGUGGCGGAAUUGGUAGACGCGCAUGGUUGAGGGCCAUGUGCCCAUUACUGGGCGUGAGGGUUCAAGUCCCUCCCUGGGCA